GCCAGACUCCAUCUCAAAAAAAAAAUUAUGUAUAUAUAUGCAGUUCAUCUUCUAACUAUAUCAACCAACCGGACAACUGCCAGAUCUCCGGGUCUCACUGGGAUCCAUGGACACAAGCUGUAGGUUUCACUAUCAGGAGGCUGCCUGAGAUCUGUGUCUACUUCUAGCAUAUAUGAUCUCACUUGCACGCAGAGAGUUGAAUCGACUGCAUGCUCUUUAAGGCCCUUUAGGUUUCUGAGCAUCUGUGAUUUAAUAGAGAUCCAGAGCUAAACACUAUUAGGGACAAACUGUGCUGUGAAUGCUGGGUGGACAGCAGGGGAAGGAAGAACUCACAGAGUGAACCCACCCUCUACGUUGCGAGAUCCUACCCAGAUCCCCUGAGACUCUGGGGGACGGGGCAGUUUGCAGGCUUCUCUUGAUGUUAUAACCAACUAAGAUGUAUCCUAUUUUGUCUUAUUUCACUUUUGGUAUCUUGAUAGGUCAUUGUUAUUUACACCAAGAGACUGUAUCUGUGAGAAUCUUUUAACAGUUCAGUUAAGGAAUCCUCUUCAAGUCAAGGCUUAUGGAGAGUGCAGGUCUGUGAGCCAAAACAUGAGGGUUCUAGGCCCAGCUUAGUCGUCAACUUGCCUCUCGCCUUGGCAAUGCAUCCGCUUUGCCAGGAUCCAAGCUUUAUCUCUUUCUCGCUACUUUCACAUCCUGUGACUGUGUUGCAAUACCUAGAACAGGAGGAAGACAGGGCCCAGCAAGGUGGAGGAAAAGAUGGAGUCAGCACGGAAAGUCAGGGGAGGGUCGUAUUAGCCUGGGAACCAUUCAAACCCUUGGGCCCCUAAUGACUCUGCUUGUAUCUUUAAAUGUUUGACGUCCAUUGGCUGCUUUCCAUCUUCCACACCAUCAGCUCUUACCAGGGCCUGUGGACCUCCUGGAAACACCAAGACUCACCGGGUCCCCAUUUCUUUUCUGCAUAUGCAUUCACCAUGGGGAAGCAGAGCCAGAGAGACGGAGCGUGGCGUGAGGAAGGAGGCCACGUGCAGAGUGCAGCUGGGGAAGAUGCUUCUAUUUUGAAACUACUGUAGGCCCCCUAGCCUCAGUACCAGGGGAAGACCACCCUCCUGGGUAAAUACCAUCUGCUAUUUUCCUUAGAUGAAACUGUUUAUCUGAAAAGGAAAUACAAAACACAGAUUCUAUUUUUCUGCACUGUGUGUCUCUGAUGGUAAUAAUAAUAGUUGUGCAACCUAGUCUGUGGUUAUUAAACCUAUCUUACGGUCACAAAGGAGCUGUAAGGAAGCCAAGAGGCACAGAAGCCCUGAGGGAGGAUUUGGAGGUUUUGCAAAUUCCAAACGAUUUUGCAGAUGAACUGGAGUAACCCACCACAGAGCAGAAGAGACAGACUCAAGCUCCAAGUGCAUCUUGCCUUCGUGGAGUUUGUCUUGAAACCAGAAGAAUUUCCUCCGUGUGUUAUUCUCAGUCUUAUCCACACAAGGUGGUUCAGCACUCAAUCUAGAGGACAUUUGUUGAAUAUAAAUGUCUGUCUCCCUAGCACAAAAUCACUGGGACAUUAUUCCAUGGAACAUUCCAUGAGUCCAUAGAAUAGUUUAUUCCAUGAUCCAAAUGGUCUGAUUGAUUCUUCCACCAAAUUCCAUAACUAAUUACUCCGUGUGUGUGUGUGUGUGUGUGUGUGUGUGUGUGUGUGUUUGGGGGUGUGGUACUGAUCAGCCCAGAGCUGAAGCCCUUGAGCUCCGGGAGAAAAGCACCCUUUUCUGAAAGCUUCUCAUGGUGGGAUCAGAGCCAGCCUUGGGAUUUUAGCGAGGGGUCUGAGACCAAUAUGAAGAGGGAAGAAAGAAGGGUCUGGAUGAUUUUGAACCAUUUUUGUGGGAAAACAAGAUGACUCUCUCAUGAAGUACCAACCAGACCUGGAACCCAGGCACACACACACAGUGUUCCUAUCAUUCUUCCCUCAGAAGGAGGCUGGUCCUCUGUCCUCCAUAUGCUUCUAGGGCAGUGAGGGCCCAUUCCGGACUCUCCCUCUGUCUCCACCCCUCAUGUUGUCUCCAACAUGGCCCUUGAGGCUCAUUUCACCCAUUUUUGCCUGGGUGAAAAUAAUGGAGGAGGGCAGUGAUCCUGCCCCACACCUGACCCCCACCCAUCAGCCCUUGCAGUACUGAACAAGCUGAACUUGGGAAUGAAUAAGAAAGAGUUCUGAGAAAAGAGGAGAAGCAGAGGAAGACCAGAGUUGUCACUUGGGGACAAAAGUGACCUUACCUCUUGUUGACUCCACAUUCCCUUCCUUUGGGAAGCUUUUCUUUCUCUAUUUUAUAGCAAUCUGCCCAGUCCAUAUGGUUGGAUGAGACUGGCUGGCUUUAUCUUGUACCACCACUGCAGGGGCAGGCACAUGACCCAGCCUGGACACUUAAAGCAAUCCCUCAGGCAGGACCCUGCAUCCAGAGCGGUCAAUCUUCCCUCAGAUGUUUGCUGCAUCUUUCAGGGAAUACUCUCCUUUUCUUCCUUAGGUCACUAGCAUGAAGGACCAUGUCCAUCCAGAACUUCCAGGGACCACCUUAGAGUCACAUUUCAGAAACACCCUCACAGACACACCCAGAAAUAAACUCUUGCCAGCAAUCUGGGCAUUUCCUAGCCCAAGUGUUACUGGAAAGGGGUCCCGAUUCAGAUCCCAAGAAAGGGCUCUUGGAUCUCGUGCAAGAAAGAAUUCGAGAGUAAAGAAAACUUUUCUUCUGAGCUAUUAACAGCUUUUAACAAUGAAGCAUACUUCUAUGAACAAAAUUUGGAGCAUAUUUGUUUCUCUCUACCUGAUUUCUCUAGAAUUUGGAAACUAUUUGCUUUGACUGGAAUGGUGUGCUUUUCUGUAAGGAAUCAAACUUGACUUGUGGAACCAAUAAAGGCCACUUGGGAAAACUGGCCUCAUACCUUGUCUAUGCAGUCCCUGUACAGAGUUCCUGACCCAUGGACAUGGUGAUUC